UGGAUCCAGACUUUGAUUAUGGCUCAGGAUGAACGCUAGCUACAGGCUUAACACAUGCAAGUCGAGGGGAAACGACAUUGAAAGCUUGCUUUCGAUGGGCGUCGACCGGCGCACGGGUGAGUAACGCGUAUCCAACCUGCCCAUCACUUGGGGAUAACCUUGCGAAAGUAAGACUAAUACCCAAUGACGUCUCUAGAAGACAUCUGAAAGAGAUUAAAGAUUUAUCGGUGAUGGAUGGGGAUGCGUCUGAUUAGCUUGUUGGCGGGGUAACGGCCCACCAAGGCGACGAUCAGUAGGGGUUCUGAGAGGAAGGUCCCCCACAUUGGAACUGAGACACGGUCCAAACUCCUACGGGAGGCAGCAGUGAGGAAUAUUGGUCAAUGGACGAGAGUCUGAACCAGCCAAGUAGCGUGCAGGAUGACGGCCCUAUGGGUUGUAAACUGCUUUUAUAAGGGAAUAAAGUGAGUCUCGUGAGACUUUUUGCAUGUACCUUAUGAAUAAG
rnacentral:rRNA from 1 species